rnacentral:rRNA from 1 species
AACGUAGGACGCAAGCGUUAUCCGGAGUUACUGGGCGUAAAGCGCGGGCAGGCGGUCGGUCAAGUCUGAUGUGAAAUCUCUCCGCUCAACGGGGAGCAGCCAUUGGAAACUGGUCGACUGGAGUCUGGCAGAGGUAGGCGGAAUUCCGGGUGGAGUGGUGAAAUGCGUAGAGAUCAGGAAGAACACCGGUGGCGAAGGCGCUCUGCUAGGCCGUAACUGACACUGAGGGACGAAAGCUAGGGGAGCGAAUGGG